rnacentral:rRNA from 1 species
GACGAACGCUGGCGGCGUGCUUAACACAUGCAAGUCGAACGGAAAGGCCCUGCUUUUGUGUGGUGCUCGCGUGGCGAACGGGUGAGUAACCCGUGAGUAACCUGCCCUUGACUUUGGGAUAACUUCAGGAAACUGGGGCUAAUACCGGAUAGGAGCUCCUGCUGCAUGGUGGGGGUUGGACAGUUUCGGCGGUUGGGGAUGGACUCGCGGCUUAUCAGCUUGUUGGUGGGGUAGUGGCUUACCAAGGCUUUGACGGGUAGCCGGCCUGGGAGGGUGACCGGCGACAUGGGGACUGAGAUACGGAGCAGACGGCUACGGGAGGCAGAAGGGGAGAAUAUUGCACAAUGGGGGGAAGCCUGAUGCAGCAACGCCGCGUGCGGGAAGACGGCCUUCGGGUUGUAAACCGCUUUCGCCUGUGACGAAGCGUGAGUGACGGUAAUGGGUAAAGAAGCACCGGCUAACUACGUG